rnacentral:rRNA from 1 species
UACGAAGGGGGCAAGCGUUGUUCGGAAUCACUGGGCGUAAAGGGUGCGUAGGCGGGUCUUUAAGUCAGGGGUGAAAUCCUGGAGCUCAACUCCAGAACUGCCUUUGAUACUGAAGAUCUUGAGUUCGGGAGAGGUGAGUGGAACUGCGAGUGUAGAGGUGAAAUUCGCAGAUAUUCGCAAGAACACCAGUGGCGAAGGCGGCUCACUGGCCCGAUACUGACGCUGAGGCACGAAAGCGUGGGGAGCAAACAGG